AUUGAACGCUGGCGGCAGGCCUAACACAUGCAAGUCGAGCGGAAACGACAACAUUGACCCUUCGGGUGAUUUGUUGGGCGUCGAGCGGCGGACGGGUGAGUAAUGCCUGGGAAAUUGCCCUGAUGUGGGGGAUAACCAUUGGAAACGAUGGCUAAUACCGCAUAAUGUCUACGGACCAAAGAGGGGGACCUUCGGGCCUCUCGCUUCAGGAUAUGCCCAGGUGGGAUUAGCUAGUUGGUGAGGUAAUGGCUCACCAAGGCGACGAUCCCUAGCUGGUCUGAGAGGAUGAUCAGCCACACUGGAACUGAGACACGGUCCAGACUCCUACGGGAGGCAGCAGUGGGGAAUAUUGCACAAUGGGCGCAAGCCUGAUGCAGCCAUGCCGCGUGUGUGAAGAAGGCCUUCGGGUUGUAAAGCACUUUCAGCAGUGAGGAAGGCGGGUACGUUAAGUAGCGUGC
rnacentral:rRNA from 1 species